AUGCAGACAAGCAGAAUAUGCUUCCUCUUCUGUUCUUUAACAUGUUCUUCUUUAGUAAGCACAAUGCCAUGCCCAUCCAUUAUCAACACCUAUUCCACUUGUCGGCAUACCAUGUUUUUUUCAUUCAAAUGUUGUUCUUAUGUUUCAGACAUCCAAAAGGAAGAGGGUGAUUGUAGAACCUGA
rnacentral:rRNA from 1 species